UAACUGCCUUCCAGGGAGGCUGCAGUUGGGUCAGUUGUUGGGACUCUGGUUUUGCAAAGUUUGAUGGGCAAGCUCAGAGCCAAAUUGCUGUGAUGGUGGAGGACAGGCUGGGGUGGCCACUAACAAGAAGGCCUCCUUCACCCACCCUGCCCCUCUCUUUUAAAUAAAUGCAGAAUAGAUAUUGAAAGAAUAUCCAUUUCAAGAUGAGAUUUGGGUGGGGACACAGAGCCAAACCAUAUUGCUGCCUUUACCAGAUGUGUGUGUGUGUGUGCGCGCUCGCAUACGCACACGUGCAUGUGUGUGUUUAGGGGUGGAGAACGUGGGGGCAAAGGAUGGAGAAAAGAGCAAAACAUAGACCAGAAAGAUCGCCCUGGUUC
rnacentral:lncRNA from 10 species